rnacentral:rRNA from 1 species
GGGUUGUGAGGUUAAGCGACUAAGCGUACACGGUGGAUGCCCUGGCAGUCAGAGGCGAUGAAGGACGUGCUAAUCUGCGAUAAGCGUCGGUAAGGUGAUAUGAACCGUUAUAACCGGCGAUUUCCGAAUGGGGAAACCCAGUGUGAUUCGUCACACUAUCAUUAACUGAAUCCAUAGGUUAAUGAGGCGAACCGGGGGAACUGAAACAUCUAAGUACCCCGAGGAAAAGAAAUCAACCGAGAUUCCCCCAGUAGCGGCGAGCGAACGGGGAGCAGCCCAGAGCCUGAAUCAGUGUGUGUGUUAGUGGAAGCGUCUGGAAAGGCGUGCGAUACAGGGUGACAGCCCCGUACACAAAAAUGCACAUACUGUGAGCUCGAUGAGUAGGGCGGGACACGUGGUA